UACGUAGGGUGCAAGCGUUGUCCGGAAUUAUUGGGCGUAAAGAGCUCGUAGGCGGUCUGUCGCGUCGGCUGUGAAAUCCCGGAGCUCAACUCCGGGUCUGCAGUCGAUACGGGCAGACUGGAGUUCGGCAGGGGAGACUGGAAUUCCUGGUGUAGCGGUGAAAUGCGCAGAUAUCAGGAGGAACACCGGUGGCGAAGGCGGGUCUCUGGGCCGAUACUGACGCUGAGAAGCGGAAAGCAUGGGGAGCGAACAGG
rnacentral:rRNA from 1 species